GUUUCUAGUGAGCGGUCUUAACACCAGAAGAAGAAGAACACUCGCUCUUAUUUCGUUCGCUUCGCUUGACGACCACGUUGGGGAGAUUCAAAGUCCUGGAAGAUGUAUCAGUAAAUACUAUUUCUUGCUGAUCUUGUUGGAAAACUCGUUUAUUUCAUAAGGCGCGUAAUGGAAUUCCCCUGGAGCUUUAACAGGACAUCCAUCUGGCCACCUUGAAGAAUACUAUGCAUUGUUUUGGUUGCGAGUUUGAUGCCAUCUAAGAGAUGAAUUUCUCAAAGCAGCUUCAAGAAAGAAGUCCGCUCUGCAUAUGAAGAUUCAGACAGGUUGCAAAGCCGAAGUAAUAAAGUUUGAUGGAGAAACUCGUUCUUUGCAGUGCAGUUGGAUCACUUGUUGCUUAAAGAAGACCUAACAACUGUAGAGAACAUAAUUUAAUUGGAAAUGUCGGUUUAAGAUUUAACAAUAUUUGGUGCAUGUGUUGUUGGUUCAAAUACAUCCAUUUUUUGUUUUUUUGAACACCGUCUGUUUGGUUACAAGUUCUACUGAAUAAAGACAAAGAGCACAUCUUUAAAAA